rnacentral:rRNA from 1 species
CCUACGGGGGGCUGCAGUGGGGAAUAUUGGACAAUGGGCGAAAGCCUGAUCCAGCCAUGCCGCGUGUGUGAAGAAGGCCUUCGGGUUGUAAAGCACUUUCAGUGGGGAAGAAAGCCUUGGGGCUAAUACCCUCGAGGAAGUACAUCACCCACAGAAGAAGCACCGGCUAACUCCGUGCCAGCAGCCGCGGUAAUACGGAGGGUGCGAGCGUUAAUCGGAAUUACUGGGCGUAAAGCGCGCGUAGGCGGUCUGAUAAGCCGGUUGUGAAAGCCCCGGGCUCAACCUGGGAACGGCAUCCGGAACUGGCAGGCUAGAGUGCAGGAGAGGAAGGUAGAAUUCCCUGUGUAGCGGUGAAAUGCGUAGAGAUCUGGAGGAAUACCAGUGGCGAAGGCGGCCUUCUGGACUGACACUGACGCUGAGGUGCGAAAGCGUGGGUAGCAAACAGGAUUAGAUACCCCGGUAGUC